CCUACGUGUGGCAGCAGUGAGGAAUAUUGGUCAAUGGGCGGAAGCCUGAACCAGCCAAGUAGCGUGCGGGAUGAAGGCCCUACGGGUCGUAAACCGCUUUUGCACGGGGAUAACACCCUCCACUUGUGGAGGUCUGCAGGUACCGUGCGAAUAAGGGCCGGCUAAUUACGUGCCAGCAGGCGCGGUAAUACGGAAGGCCCGAGCGUUAUCCGGAUUCAUUGGGCGUAAAGGGAGCGUAGGCGGGCGUUCAACUCAGCUGUAAAAUCGCGCGGCUCAACCGCGCCCCGCAGUUGAAACUGGACGCCUUGAGUUCACAACAGGCAGGCGGAAUUCGUGGUGUAGCGGUGAAAUGCAUAGAUAUCACGAGGAACCCCGAUUGCGAAGGCAGCCUGCCGGGGUGCGACUGACGCUGAGGCUCGAAGGUGCGGGUAUCAAACAGGAUUAGAUACCCUAGUAGUC
rnacentral:rRNA from 1 species